rnacentral:lncRNA from 1 species
GGGCAUUCCUCAAGUAUGUUACAUGACUUGACUAUAUAAUUUUAUUUCCCAUGCAGAGGUAGAAGAAAACCGUCCUCAAUACUGGAUCCAUCCAGAGGUGGCGGCAGUUUACAACCUCACAUCGACUGGAGACUAGCAUCGCCCUUGGAAAUGCCCUUGUAUUGCUGCUAACGUAUUUCUCAUUUCCCAAUAAACUGGAUGCAUUCAUGGAACAUGUAUGCCAAUCUUUCCUUUUAUUCAAUCACCCAACAACAACAUGAUGCACGACUCAACAACACAUGUAAGAAGAAACUAUACUUGGCCACCACGUGAACAAGCACACUUAUGAUUUACAUACUGAGGUUACUAAUUUAGAUAACACAACAUAAACUGACGUACAAGACAGAGACACAAUUGACUUCAUCAUUGCCAGACAACAUGGAUGAGAACGCGGCUGCUCUCACCACUUUUGAGGCCACUUCUUAUUUCUUAGGCUGCGGCUGCUUCUUCUUAGCCAUCAUCUCUUUUUCUGAGUCAGCCUCACGUUUAUCCUACGGUUACGCCCCUUCUUAAGAUUCCUUCGUUGUGCCCCCGGCUUAUUGGUUGACGGUUGCGUUGGCCUGUUAGGGGGAACCGUUGUACCUGGAACCUUUGGACCUGACUUGUCCAUGACGCCUCCUCCCCUCCUCCUCCUCCUCCUCCUCCUCCUCCUCCUCCUCCUUCUUCUUCUUCGCUUGUGCAAGGUAGGUGAGGUGAGGUGGAUGUGGUGUUUGUUUUGCACCGGUUGGUUUGUGGAAUCAUGCAGCAACGGCGCGCGCAUAUAUAUAGGAGGAUUAAGGACUUGGCGAAGCGCUCUGGCCGUACAAGGUGGUUUCAUUGAAGGAAAAUGAUUUGGUGGCAUCCCCCGUGCUGCUGUUAGUCAGUCUCUUUUGUGUCGUUUUGGGGAGUAGAUAUGUAUAUUUGAUUCAUUUGUUAUGGGUGGAUAAGUAUGCAGUUGAGUCAGUGGUCUUCGUUGCUGACAGUUGGUCUUCAUUUCUUCUUCUCAUCCUCCUUGUACUAUAGCUACAUCAGAAUAAGUGUUGGUGGUCAAGUUUUACUAGCAUAUACCACACGGCUUGUUACUUGUUAGGCCAUCUUCAACGGCUAUCCGUGGACAAAGAGGAUCAGUCCGCGGACACAAAUUUAGGAGCCGGCUAUCCAACGCUGCACCAUACAUUUGAAACACUUUGUCAACAAAGCAGAUGUACCUCACUCAGACACAUCAGAUUACAUAUAAACCUGGUGAAAACAUUUAUAUUUUUGACAUAUUCUAACUAAAAAACUAAAACUAUGUGCAUGUACCACCACACGGAGGUCCACUACCAUGACACGGAUACAUUACACUAGUCUACGAUCGGCCGCGGAGUGUCCCUUUGUCUUCCCCUUGUCAGGCAGUCUGGUGACUCAUCGGAUUGCUGGGAGCCCCGGAGGUAUAUUCCUCCCCUGUAUCUUCCCUAUGUCUGGCUGCGCCGCUUAUCGGAGUGGCAAAGAGGGUGCUUCAGUCGGAAGGGAAGGGGGAAUCCGCUUCCGUGAAGCGCGGAUCAGGGUUGGUUUUUGGGGCAGGGGAAGAUGGUGGCCUGCGAGACAGGGCGAGACAUUUGGUGUGCAUGCGGCGAUGCUGCGGCGGUGGCCUUCUAAGGACCCAAGUGGCGGCGGGCUCCCAUGUUCUACUUUUCCUCGAUUUUGUCGGCAAACGCGGACAUGCUAGCCGCCGCCUCGUCGAUCUCCACUAUAUAUGAGAUGCCUAGUAUAUAAGUGUCCUACUAGGACACGACUUCAUAUUCUAUCUAAACACAAUACUACUCAGAGUCCAACUGUAACCUAUCUUAUACACAAUAUUCCAUACAACUCUAACAACUCCGGCUGGGUCAAGGAAACCUCAUGCACGGCCGGCUGGAAGACGCGCUUCCACCAUGGAGAAUGGUUUGGUGGCGUUCAGAGUCAGUCUCGUUUGUUUUGUUCUGUUUUCAGGAGUAUGUAUGCACAUUCGAUGCAUUUGUCAUUGACGGAUGGAUGCGGUCGGGUCAAAGGUCGUGGUCGUCGCCGCGUCAGUCUUCACUUCUCCUCCAUCUCCUCUUCCUUAUACACCUACAUUAGAACUUGCGUUAGGUUAAGUUUAGGAAGCAUACAGAAUUUCUUUUAGUUAUAAUCAAAUAGAUUAAGAUAUCUUGCAAUCACACCAUGUCAUAGGCACAUGUGAUUUUCAUGCAAAUUAUUUCUUUGACCUGCUAUCACCAGCAACUGCCAGCCUGAACCAUUUUAUAUCAAUCCAAACCAAAACGAGCUACCUGUACAAGAUGGAGAUAAUUGCAACAAAUUCGGACCGUGUACGUCUAGUGCAUCUGUUGAUAGCAUUUAACCUGCCAUGAUUCUUUGAGGAUGCAUGUUGGCCUAUGCAUCCUUUGAUUGGAUGGACUUCUCUAAAUAUUCACUACACAAGUCAGUCAUUCUCAGAAGUGGACGGUCCAGCGAAUUUGGAAGGGUUAAGAGCAUGGUUAAUAGUAUAGCCAGCUGCUAUGUCAUCUACAGCUCAUUUUAUAGUCAAUAUGUACAAUAUUAGAUCAAAAGAGUGUACUACUUUUUUAUUAUGUGGUCCACCUUUCAUUCUCACAAAGUGCCUAGGAGCACGUGCUAGAGCUGCCUCUUCAUGAAGAGCCCGCUUACCUUCUUUCUCCUCUUCUCUUUACUCCAACUAAGCAGAAAUAUACUAGUUUAUUCCUUAUAGCCCGCUGACUCAGCUCUAUUGUACUUGCUCUAAGGAAAGAAAAUUAUCUAUUGGCUAUGGCUGAGACUAAUUCUGACUGCUGUUGUUGAUGUGUCUGCUAAUUUGGCAUAAUUCCUCGCUUGUCCAAUUGCAGCAUCUCGCUCUAGUAGUAGUCCAAGUCUCUCAGCCUCAAAUACGAUGCAUAUGAUUAUUUUAAUAGAAAAACCUGUUGGCGUGUUGCGUCAAAUGGCACAGACCGGCCAAGCUGGGCCGGCCCAUUAAGAUGUACAGUUGUUCUCCGUCUUGGGGAACCUUUCGGAAGGUUCCAGUCUGGUUUUCACCGUUUUUUGUUUUUCUUUCCUGGUUUUCAUUUUCUUUUUUUCUUAAAUAUUGGUCUUUUUGGUAAAAAAUAUCUGUUAUAAAAUAUCAAAUUGUUCAUGUUUUACAAGUUUAUUGGAAUUUCUAAAAAUGUUUUCACUUCCAAAAAUUCUUCACAAACUAAAAGAUGGUCAUGUUAUUAUAAAAAAUGUUUGUAAUUUUUUAAAAUGUUCCUGUAUUUAAAAAGUGUUCACAAAUUCAAAAAAUAAUCAGGAACUUCAAAAAAUAUGUUUAUUGUUCAUUUUUUAAAGGCACAUCUUCCAAAAAAAUAGAUUCUUCAUAAUAAGGUUUGUGUUUUAAAAAAAACAAAUCCACCAAAAAUAUGUUUACUAUGGGCAUUUGGGGCAUGUUUUGGGGUGUUGUAACGGGGCUUCCACCCUGCUAGUGCAUGUUCUAUGCUGGUUUCAGUCUAACCCGCCAAAAGUGUUUCCUAUUGUACUGCUUGCUUUCUUUCUAAUAAAGAUCGGCCAAGGGCCCUUCGAGAAAAGAUCUUCCCCUUUAAUGGCGGAUUUGGUUUUUUAAUGGGAGGAAGAACAACAUACCAGGCUACCAACUCUCCCAUUAAGAGUAGAGAUUCCCGAGAAGCCGCUGGCGCUAGAUAUAUGACCGCAGCCAGGCGAGAAAGACGCGGGAUUCUAGAUGGGGAUAAGGAACAAUAUUGGUGGAGAUGAAGAAGGGUUGGACGAAACCAAAAUUAACAUAUCCUUGUCAAAACAAGAAACCAAAAUUAACAUAUGAUGAUGAAGGAAAGUACAGGGGAUGUGUGGGUAAGGGAAGGAAAGCAAAUAAUUGAUUGAAUCGGCACCAGGUUUUGUUGGGACACACGUGAUUUCUUGUUAUGAUGUUCGCACUUGGGAGAAGCAGAACAUAGCGAGCUAGAAUGGUCAUGCCAGCUGCUGCUUAGACAGGCAUCUCCGGCGUGCUGGGAAUCAAUGUCCCGACAUGCUCGAAACAGGAGGGCGCUGCACCGUGUUGGAACUGGACAACCACCAUGUUGUAACUGUGGUUGAACACUAGUGGUGGGGACAGAUGCGAGGGACCUGUCCUGUGAGGGCGGCAACACCACGGCGAGCGGUAGCUAGCCGGUAGUGCUUCCAGAAUCGGUCGGCGCAUGUCCAUCGCAAGUAUAGUGGCGCUAGCUAUCGACUCUUUUCGAUCAAAUGGGAAGGAGCGAGCACUGUGUGAGGAAGGAGACGAAGAGAAGAAGAAUCGAAACGUGCCAGUGGGGCCAAUCCGGCUGGCACCAAGCGACCAACCAAAUUUUGGGCAAGUCGACCGGCGCCUAGCGCCGCCCUUGGAAAUGUCAUUGUAUCGAUGCUAACGUAUUUUUCAAUGUACUGGAUGCACUCAUGGAACAUGUAUGUCAAUCCUUCCUUUUAUUCAAUCACCCAACAACAACCUGAUGCACGACUCAACAGCACAUGUAAGAAGAAAGUAUACUUGGCCGCAACGUGAACAAGCACACUUAUGGUUUACAUAUUGAGGUUACGAAUUAACCUGCCACAACAUAAACUAACGUACAAGACAGAAACACAAUUAACUUCAUCAUUGCCCGACAACAUGGAUCAGAAUGAAAAAAAAUAAAAUAUAGUAAAAAGAACAUGGAUCAGAACGCGGCUGCUCUCACCACUUUUGAGGCUAUUUCUUAGUAUUUCUUAGGCUGCGGCUGCUUCUUCUUAGCUAUCCUCUGUUUUUGCGAGUCAGCUUCAGAUCUUUCCUACGAUUACGCGACUUUUUAGGUUUCUUUGGUUGUGCCUUUGGCUUAUUGGGUGGCGGCGGCGUUCGCCUGUUAUGGGGAACCGUUGUACCUGGAACCUUUGUACCUGUCUUCUCCAUGACGCCUCCUCCUCCUACUCCUCCUCUCCCUCCUCCUCCUCCUCUCCUUCUUCUUCUUCUUCUUCUUCUUCUUCUUCUUCUUCAUCUUCUUGUGCGAGGUAGAUGAGGUGAGGUGGAUGUGGUGUUUGUUUUGCACCGGUUGGUUUGUGGUGUUCUGCAGCAACGGCGCGUGCAUAUAUAUAGGAGGGAUAAGGAAUUGGGAAAGCGCUCUGGCCGGACAACGUGGUUUCAUCAAAGGAAAAUGGUUUGGUGGCGUCCCCAGUGCUGCUGUUAGUCAGUCUCUUUUGUGUCGUUUUGGGGAGUAGAUAUGUAUAUUCGAUUCAUUUGUUCUUGGCGGAUAGGUAUGCAGUUGAGACAGUGGUCUUCGUUUCCUCUUCUCAUCCUCCUUAUACUAUAGCUACAUCAGAAUAAGUGUUGGUGGUCAUAUUUUGCUAGCAUAUUCCACACGGCUUGUUACUUGUUAGACCAUCUUCAACGGCGACCGCAGAUUACCUCCAACAUCCAUCCAUGGACAAAGAGGAUCAGUCGUCCGUGGACAGAAAUAUGGGAGCCGGCUAUCCAACACUUCCCGCAUACAUUUCAAACACUUUUUCAACAACCCGGAUGUACCUCAUGCAAACACAUCAGAUUUCAUACAAACCUAGCGAAAACAUUUAUAUUUUUGACAUACUUUAACUGAAAAACGCAUGUACGACCACACAGAGGUCCACUACCAUGACACAGAUACAUUACACUAGUCUACGGCCGGCCGCGGACAAUCCCUUUGUCUUCCCCUUGUUAGGCAGUCCGGUGACUCAUCGGACUGCCGGGUGCCAAGGAGGUAUAUUCCUCCCCCGUAUCUUCCCUAUGUCUGGCUGCGCCGCUUAUCGAAGUGGCAAAGAGGGUGCUUCAGUCGGAGGGGAAAUGGGAAAUCCUCUACCGUGAAGCGUGGAUCAGGGUUGGUUUUUGGGGCAGGGGAAGACGGUGGCCCGUGAGACAGGGCGAGACAUUUGUUGUGCAUGCAGCGACGUAGCGGCGGUGGCCUUCCAAGGAUCCAAGUCGGCGGGCUCUCAUGUUCUACUUUUCCUCGAUGUUAUUGGCGGACGCGGCCGUGCUGGCUGCCGCCUUGCCGAUCUCCAAGCUGGCUUCUUUUUCCAUCGACAAGGCGCGGUCCUGCGAACGAUGAUGUCAGAUGGCUAGUAUCUGGAGGGUUCGGCAGGCCACCCAGCCAGAUUUUAUACCGGGCUCUUCCUACACGCCGAAUGUCAUGAAAAGAGUGAAGAAAAUAGUGGAAGGAGGAGAUGGGGAGAGGAGGAGAGGUGCGAUUGUUGCCCGGCGUCUGGCCUCCUUUAAAUAGCGAGCAGGUGCGAGGAAAUUUCCCGUUGUUGUGUUUAAUGCUGAUCGGCUCAUGAACAUAUGUUUGGCUGGAGUAGCUUUCUCGGCACACACGCGAAUUUAAUGGAGGCGUGUUCAGUCGGGCGUGCAGCGGGCGACGCCAUCGGCCAGCGUGCCGCUUUAAUGCCGAAGCCAGUGAGACGUCGCGCUCGCUCUGGGACAGCUUCAAUGCGGGAGCAGACGCUCAACGACAACAUGAAUGAGGGCAGCUGACGCCGGGCAGGAACGCGUGCCGGCGAGGGUGUGGAUUGGCAUCGGUGGGCUAGGGUUUCCAAAAGUGGGUGUGGGAGCAGUCCAGACGCCUGCAAAGGCCCCAUGCUUGUCUUAGGUUUGUGAGAGAAAGUGCGUCUCAAGACUGAACGGACCGAUACAGUUGCAUGGCAAAACACGUCCCCUCCGCCUGGUCCAGACGUAUGUGGAUUUAAGGGUCGUCGUUGGAGAUGCCCUUACUCAUGAGCGAUUUUGACAAUGUUCUUCUUACCUCCUCUUUGACAUGGUAGGUAAGAAGGUAAGAGUUACUGACCAACUACUUAAUUAAGGGCUCAUAUCUAUUACAUACGUUUUCCCUUCAUAUGAAAAGAGGAGGUUAGAGAAAUCAUGUGCACCUACGCCAUGCAUGAUUUAUGGCGUAAGUAUACACGUAGUUGCCGUUGUAUAAGAUGUUCAGGUAGAGCUUGAGUUUGGAUUAACUAAACCCAUUGUAAUAGAUCUUAGCUCAUUAAUUAAUGACUUGAUUAACUCUCACACUACUAGAAAAAGGGCUGUCAGUGGUGCACCUGUUUUUGCUAUUAAUGGCGCACUACAGGUGCGCCACUAUUAACACGCCACUAGUAACAAAUAGUAAUGGCGCACCUCUGAUGCGCCACUAGUAUCCCAGAUAAUAGUGGCGCACCAUACAAUGCGCCAUUACUAUGUCCACCAGUGCGUCAUUACUAUGCCUCCCAGGAGGGCAUAUUUACCUUGUGCUCUGAGUUACUAAUGGCGCACUUUCAGAUAAUGCGCCACUGAUGUGUUUAUUUCAGUGCGCCACUAAAGUGCAAUAUGGUGCGCCACUACAAUGAAUAUUAGGAAUUAUCUUUUUUUUUCUUAUAUGAUAUUUGCACAGGUUACAAAAUACAUUACUGCACAGAAUAUAAACAGCACAACAUAUAAACACCAGAUUUAUCGAGUACAAUAGAAGAUUAGUCUCCGAAUACAAUUCAUCAUAUUAGCCUCCGAAUUCAAAAUACCGAACAAAGUUAUAACAUUACAAGCCUUGAGACCGCGAGUAGCGAGUUUGUCUUCACAUUACAAGUCGAUAUCGAUCAUCUAAACUACCAUCACAUAGAAGAGAGCUGCGGUCAUCACGAUGAGCAUCAUCGCGAUGAAACUGGUCUUCACCCGGUUCCUCCAACGCUCCCUCCUCUCUCCCGCUAGUUAGCGCGCGUAUCUAGCUUCCGCCUCCGUCCUAGUGGUGUAUCCUUUGUAACUGUUACCGCUGAAACGGUGAACCUGUCUCUGACACUCUUUCCAGUCAUCGUAGACUCCGGGAACCUUACCCUUGUACACAACAUACGACGGCAUAUCUAUGCACUAGACAAACAAAACGUUAGUAGCAAUUCACAGACAAUACAUAAGCAAUAUAUAAGUAUGCAACAAAAGGAUCGGAAGAGAAAAGCAACACAUUAAUAGCACGAUUCAUGGUCGUACUAAUAAAUAGCAUCGAUUACAUAUAAGUUGAACGACUGUCCAAACUAAAGAGACAUACAAGUUCAUUAAAGUUUAAUUACAACAUGAGCUAAUCGAUAUUUCAGAACUACAUAGCAUCACUGCUUUCGACUCGACUCAGGGACCGGAGCGUGGAUGAAGCCGCCGUCUAUCGUGAUGGUAAUGAAAUCAUGGUCGUUGUCAGCCUGCAUUUGUAGCGUUGUUUUUAUCUCACUGUUGGACAGUUGAUAUCUAAGGUGGAACUGCCCCGAGGUACGAAGGACAUCUUGAUGGAUGAUUUCCGCAAACAAUGAGUGGAUGCGAAAGAAUUCUUGUCUGAUGUCCGCGUCCUGAAUUGCCGACAAGCGUGCGGCCCAAUCUUUGAGAUUAGUUGGUAGCAGAAGGUGAUUAUGGUCCCGUACAAUCGCCCGCAUGUGAUGGAGGGCGUAGUAGGCAUCCUUCUGACCGCCAGGCAGCUGCUUGACGCAUCGUAUUGUGGGUGAACACGUGCUUGCCUUACCUACAAAUUGGCCUCCUGAAGGUGCCUCCAGAUCUGGCGUAGCCAGGAAGAGCUUCAUCAAGAACUUUCUUAAUAUUUGUGUAGUCUUUCUUUGACUGAUGGUCCGAGUCAAAAUACGUGGCCAUGGAAUAUUUCGGGCUUAAGAGGAUGAGUGUGCAAUGUGUGUCACUGCACAAAACACGGAAUGUUAGAAAAAAAAAACAAACGAUCGAAAUCUAAGAAAUCAUAUGUUACGGGGCGGUGAGGGGAUGACUUACUCGGGAAAGUAAGGCACGAGGAAGUUAUCCUUAUCUGGGUUCGCCAGAAUGACACCUUCGAGGUAUGAACUCGCGACUUGCCGGUCCCCAGCGCUGCCCAAGAUAUUGGUACGCAUGUAGAAGGAGUCGACUAUCAUGAUGUCCGGGGUCUUGUCUCUAAUGAUCCGCAUCUCCAUACUAAGCCAAAAUAGCCGAAUGAAUGUGUAGUGCAGCGGAUGAAGGUUAAACAUAGCGAAGAUGUCAUCAAACCGCAGGACGAUCAUAUACCCCCGAUGGUGCUAUCCACAAAGCCCUUGCCCUCUGGCACCUUGGCCACGAAAACCGGGUAUGCCACAUCAUUCUCGGAGAGACGCCGCUUCUCCAAAGAAAGAACACUGUCAUGCAGACUCCGCAUAGCACCGGUUGCAGCAUUGAGCAGAUUAGUCGGUAGCAUCGGCCUACCCGCCACAUGCACCCUCCUCGAGAUAUCCUUAGGUGAAGGUGGCCCGUCCUGAGCACGGAUCGUACUCGGUGCCGGCUGGCUCGCACCCUUGUUAUUCUUUCUUUUCCGUCCCUUCUUCUUCUGUUGUAAUGGGAUCGAGUUCUGCUCAGAGACCGCCUUCUUGAGUGUGUUGGGGUUGAUAAUAUUUCGCACCUCGGCUAUCUGAGGCUCGGUGAAGGCGGCAGCUGGAGGCGUCUCCUAAGAACUGAACACCAGACGAUGCCUGUUGCAAUUGGGUUUCUCCGCGGUACCAGCUUGAUCGCGGUGGUCUUUUGCAGGGUUGGGUUCUUGAGAAGGAGGCCCCAAGAAUUCGUCACCGUACCCAUGUUCGUUGAAGUACUUAUCGACGUUGGUAAAUGUACCGUCAUCGUCUGGAUCCUGUGCCAUAUGCAUGUCCGGAUCCUGUGCCAUAUGCAUGUUCGGCAUGUCCGGCAGCGUUGCGGGGGUCUUGCCAUGGCUUGGCGCCAGCACGACUGGCGGUGUUGUCUGUGGGGUGCUGUCCCCCGCCCCCAAACGAAUCUGGCAAUUCGGCCAAAGCAGGGGCCAGCUUAAGCAGGCGCUGAGGGUCAUCACAUCAUCUUCGUCGGCCCCAGGGGAUCGAAAUGGAGGUAACAAGUCGUCGCAGCCCGGCAGCACCCGAACCAAUUGAACCCUAUACACGGUGGGUGGCAUCGGAUUACCAUGGAACACGGGGUUGCCCGGUUGAACGAUUCUGGCCUCGGCGACAUCGAUCAACUCGCCGCCCACGAAGUGCAGGAGAGUGCAUGGAACAUCGGCGGCGCCCUGCGAAAACAUGUAGGGCGUCAGGGAUGCCCAGUCAAAGGCAAGGAGAUGAAGUCAUCGGCCAAGAGGCUUAGUUACCAUGAUGGCAUCGAGCUCGGCUAAUGUCGAGGCACCGCCAACGGCGGGCGUGCAAGUGACAGAGGGCCGCUUGCUGCCAAGGUGCCGGCCGGCGUAUUCUUCCCACACCCGAGUGCAUUAAGCUCCAAUGCCCGUGCCGGCGCCAGAGACACCAAUACUGCCUCCGCCGGAGACACCAAUGGCGCUGCCGGCGCGUUGUGCGAGUUGCUGCCCGUGAAGCUGGGAAUCGGGGGCGGCCCCUGUUGGCCGCCCGCAAUCCACGCCUGCAGCCCCUCAAUCAAGGUAGGCACAAUGGUGGUGAUCGUCGCUCCCAGUUGGUCUCGCACUUGCUCUUGGACUAUCUCCGGAAUCUGCGCCACUUGUGCCUUGAGUUCUUGAACCUCGCACUCCUGGCUUUCCGAGUUGGUCUUUCUCUCCUUUUGCCCAGCGUUAUAGUAUUCUGACCAUUUCGUGGACAAGCCUUUGCCGGCCACACGGCCAGCUGAUGAUGGCUUACUGAACUUAUCCUCGUAUUUCAUUAAGUUCAACGCCCUAUUUAAAGUGGUGUCCCAAGGGGAGCUCUGAGACGACCCCGCGCUACUGCUUUUAGUGUCUUGCGGAAGGAACGUGAACCAUUUAGAAAUUUGGCUUCAUUAAUUAUAAUGCAACCAUAUGGAGCUAAUUACGCGGGGGUGUAUUCCUUACCAGAACAAGCUCAAGCGCCUUGGUCUUCGGAUCCGUGGUAAGCUCCUUUAUUACCGGGUCCACCUUGUACCGGGCCCUGACAUAGUUCCUGGUCUACUUGUCACGGUAUUUAUCGAAGAGGGGCGGUAGGCCUUGCUCGGCAUGCUCUGCGUCCUCCUUGUCCCAUAUAGGUUCCGCCACUCUGUAAUCGCCGGGACCGAUUUUUUGGACCCCUAAGUUCAAGUCCCGCAUAUCUUUCCCCCACUGACUUGAUUCCGCGGCUGCGUUGCUCUCGCACUUGAUCUUGAACUCCCGGUAGUCAGCUUCGCUGAUCGAAGGAAUUGUCUCCUUGAUCUUCUCAUAACUAUCACCUCUUAGAAUCCUUCUCCUCACCGCGGCUCUCCAAGUAGCCAGGGCCAUGCUCAUCUUCGUGAGGGCGGCACUGUUCACUUUAUUCCCCGAGAGGCGUGUGUUUGCGAAGUCACCGGGGAACUUGUAUCGUUCGUGCAGCUUCGUGAAGAGGAGGUUGCGCAAAUUCCCUCGGUCACGAUGCCUUAGGUUCUCGGUGUUGAUCGAUACGGUGCUCCGGAGAAUGCACCCGAGUUGUCCCGAGUACCCACUGACUAAUUCUUUGGGCGCCGUUGGAUGCCCACUGGAGGACACUUCAGUAAAUUCCUGCUUGAUGGUGCUGAGCACGUUUGGGCGCCGGUCCUUCUGUUGCCUCUUCGGUUGGCAGCCAUCUGUGCGUGCACUGCCAUCAUCAGUGGUGGCAUCCUCGGCGGCACCAUCAGUGGUGUCAUCCCCGACGCCACUAGGGGUUGUGUAGUCAGGAUCGGUGUCUUCCGCGGCGUCCUCAUAGCGGUGAGGUUCUUCCUGCAUCUCCUGGGACAGCUCCCAGAAUGCCUUACCCGAACCGCCGGCCUCAUCGUUGUGGGCCAUGUUCGCUCUAAAUAGGAAAAAAGUUUGGUCAAAAAGUUGGUUAUUGUCAAGGAACAAGAUCUCUAAGUUGACCAAAUAACCUAAUUCUUGAGGAAUGUCACCAAAAAGUUGGUUAUUGUCAAGGAACAAUUGAGAGAUGUUUGUGAUAUUGCCUAGGUGUUUUGGGAUGGAACCUGUUAGUGUGUUGUUGCUAAGGUCCAAGUCCACGUACUCAAGGUCUAAGAUAAUUUAAUCAGGGCAGUGGCAGUGGAUUUGUGCACAAGCUAAGCUAGCUAAGACAAUAGCUUCCUUGCAACCCACAAAAGACAAAGGAAAAGGGGUGAAAAAGGGGAGAUGGUUAGCUUUGAUGAGCAGGCAUCAUCUUCCUAACCCCCUUCUUCUUGUCUCCUCUCACUAUCUCUCUCACACACAUGGCAAGCAAGGGUGUCUGAGUGUGUGAAAUAAUACUAAACUAAUCCAACCACUAAAGCACUAGAUCACUACUAUUGUAUAAUCUUUUUAUAGCUUUGUAUAUAUGUAUGGCUCCAAUGGGUGCCACUGCCAUGCAUCCCUCUCCUAUCAUUUAAUCAUGAUUAGCCCAUCAUUUUGUCCAGAGAUUAGUUUUGGUUAAUUAAUUAACUAGUGUGUGCCACAGCAGAGCACAGAUCUCCAUCUAGCUAGUAGGAGUAGCUUUCCAAGGUCUCUUUCCAAGGCUUGUUUCGGUUGAGAAUCGGGCACCUUCUAGGUCAAGAGAAUUGGGCAUGACAUUUGCUAAUUUUCUUGACCUAGGAGUGCCCCAUUCUCAACCGAAACGGAAAUUAAUCAACAUUUCAGGAGAAAGGGGCCAUUUCAAAAGAUCACAAGUAGCAGAAGCAUCACUUGACAAAAUCACAAGUAGCAGCAGCAUCACAAGUAGUACAGCAGCAGCAUCAUCACAAGUAGUACAGCAGCAGCAGUGAAUACAGUGCGUACAGCAGCAGCAUCAUCAUCACAAGUAUUGUGAUGCCCCUUCAAACAAGAGUUUCUUGCUCUCUCUUUUUUUGACAUGAACAAACAAGGGUUGCCAAUUCAAACUAACUUGUGAUGAUGUUGUUCCUUUAAAGUGCAGUUCAGUAUAUGUAACAAAAAACAGGUGACAAAACUUGCACACCCCUCUCCGCUUAACGAGGCAGGGAAACAGUGCCAGGAUAGCAACCAAACACUGUCCAGGCACAGUUUAGGGAGGCUCCAAGCCAGACACGAUUCAGUGUGGACACUAUCCAAACACACCCUACAUGACUGUGGAUACUUGUAAAAACUUGGUUUAGCUCCUUUCACACAUAGAUAAGCAGUUGGGAAAAAGACACAAUUUCCUGUAAGAACUUGAAAAAGAAACUAUGCCAUAUGUACUUCAAGACUUCAAGUAUAUAGCCAUAAAAAAUAGUUCAUGCAUGUAUGAGCCGUGGAUCGUGCUGUUUCCGAAAAGAGUAAACCCACAGGGGGCAACUUACCUGUGAUUUCAGGCUAAUUGUAUUAAAAUUUGAAGCAACUACUAUCAGACAUGUAAAAAAAGGUGCUAUCUUUCUCUUGUGCUAUCUCUCUCUUGCAAAAAAGUGCAGUUCCUUUAAAGUUUCAAAUAUGCACUUGCAUUGCAUUUAAACAUGCCCAUUGGGUGUGGGUGAACCAUUCAGAACAAUCAGCCAUGGCAAUGUCACAUUUCAGCACCAAAGUGGCUUGCACUUCUUUUUAGUUGAACUUUUUUUUAAUAGACAAACAACUAAAUGCUCAGAACUACUACUACUACCACUAGAUCAUUUUCCUCUAGAACAGAACCAAACAUUUUUUUUAUAUAAAAAUACGUAGUUCACAGAUUUUGGCACAAGAAGUCCAGUUCAUGUCGUACCAACAAUGCUUAAAAUAGUUGGCCAAACAAAAAAAUUAACAGUAAGGUGCAUUGACUUUUUCUUUAAAAGGUUAUACCUGAAGAACUAAGCUCCAGGUCCACUACAAACAAGUUUCAGUUCCAAGUUUGGCACUUGCUGUCCGACACAAGCCACAGCCCCCUUGAACAUUCAGCAAGUGCACGAAACAAACGCAUGUUACAAGACAAAAAACAUAUUGGCGCAUCAAUUGGAAGCCAUCCAUCAUAUACCAUCAGAAAAAGGCUAGAGAGAAUUGGGGAAACAAAGGUGAACCUCUCUCUUCUUGCACUCCUUGUAGUUGUCGAACUGUUGCUGGCACUUGCUCUUGUCCUGGUUGGUCUCCAGACCUGGAGACACGGCACAUCAUUAGAGAUUUCAUCAAAUACACACGAAAUUGUCCAGAAAUUAUGGCCAGAAAGUGAACUGGGUUGAUUGGAUUAGAAAUUUAGGAUUAGGGGCGGAGGAUGCGCGUACACUUGAGGGAGGCGGUGUAUUGGGGGAAGCAGGAGGAGUCGGCGAUCCGGGCCGCGCUGGGGUAGGGCCGGAGUUGAGGUGGAGCGGAGACCGGAGCUGAGGUGGCCGGUGUUGAGGAAGACGGGGGCGACGGGGAGCGGGCCGGCUGGUGGUGGAAGCCCCAGCCCAGGCACGGGAUCAGCUCCGAGGGAGGAGAGCGCGAGGUCGGCGGGGACGGGGGAUCUCCAGCUCGAACGGAUCCUCCAAGACAGCGUAGCGGAGCUUGGCGCAGCUCCUAGGCACAACGACGGAGCACGGGGCGGUCGGUGGCUGCGGUGACGCGCGGCGGCCGCGCUCGGGGAGGCGGGAGCCGCGAAGGGUUCGGUCGGCUGGGCGCGCCGCGGCGGAGGGCCGGUAGUGGCGGCUUGAACCCUAGGUCUCGUGCUCGGGAAGGGAUCCGGUGGUGGGCUCGGGGAGGAGGCGGCGCUCGGGUGGGAGGGAGGGGGUGGAUGGGUGCAGCGAAGGCGAGGGAGGGGUGGGUGGGGGCGUCGGAGCCCGGGAGCGAGGUCGCCGGUGGGUGGGGGCGGCGGUGGUGGUGGAAGGGGAUCGGCGGCGGUUGCGAGAGGGGAGAAGGACGAACGGGUAGGCGAGGGGCGAGAUGGGAGAGGCGAGGGACGAGGGCUGGAUAUUUUAGUGGGGGAAGGUUAGCAAUGGCGCACCUCCUAGGGGUGCGCCAUAAAUACCGUGAUAGCAAUUGCGCACCCUCCCCUGGUGCGCUAUUACUAACUUUUUUUUGGAUAUUUAGUUGCAUAUAAUAUUUUUUUAGAAAAUAACGAUCAAAUUUGAAAACAUUUAUGAAUGUGAAAAAUAUCAUCAAAUUUGAAAACAUUUAUGAAAAAACAUGAAUAUGAAAACAUUUAUGAAUAUGAAAAAAUAUCAUCAAAUUUGUUAUUUGAAAAUAUAUUUUUUGGAUUUUUAGUUGCAUUCAUUUGUGAAUUAGUAAAACAUUUAUGAAUAUGAAAAAAUAUCAUCAAAUUUGAAAAAAUAUUCAUGAAUUCAAAAAAUGCCCAUGAAAUUUAACAAUAUUCAUGAGUUCAAAAAAUAUUAACAAAUUCAAUACUUUUUGUGAGUUAGAAAUUCAAUACGAGAAUAAACAUAAAUAAAAAUUGGUAUACCGGAAUAAACAUAAAUAAAUAUUCAUGAGGACUAGAACAGAAGAAAUGUCAUUUCCAUAUGUCGAAAUACAAUCGAGAAAUGAAGACUACAAUUUAAAUACAAUCGAUCUUAGCUAGCUAUCUUUUCACAAUCUUCUUGUCCUUCUUUUUCGCAAAUGGAGUUCUUCUCUUGAACAGACGUCCUUUAGGUAGGAUGGUCUUGCUUCUUCUUGUGGUGUAUGGUACUUCAUCGUCGUCAUCAUGUUCCAUCUUCGGGUCGCCGUACUUCUCGAAGUCUUUCUCAUUGGCGACUCUAUCCAUUCCGAUGAUCUUCAUUUUGCCUCUCCUCACGACAACACGACUGGGCUUUGACAGGUCCGUAAUGAAGAAGUAUUGGUCCACUUGGGAAGCCAGUACCCAUGGCUCAUUUUUUGCGGUGAUAUUUGCGCCCGCGGUCUUGGAUUUGGCUUCGGGUAUAACCAUGGUGGUGAAAUACGGGUGUUCUUUUAGGACGCUCUUGGCCCAUCUGACACGGAACAUCGGGACCUUCUCUCCAGCGUAGCUCAGCUCCCAGAUCUCCUCGAUCCUUCUGUAGUAUCUGUCCUUGUCGUUACCGGUGUAGGAUUCCAUCGUUAUCCUGGAGUUCUGAUAAUCAUCGCUCUUCAUGUCCUUUUCCUCGGUGUAGAAUGUGUAGUCGUUGAUAUCAUACGUCUCAUAGGUCAUCAGGUUGUGCUCGGCGCCCUAUGACAAUGCGAAUAUGAGUUUUCCUUCCGCAGAAGAAUCCUCAUGUAAAGGGUACGACAGAAGCUUCUCCUUGAACGAAUGCGUGAAACAUGAGUUGUGCUCUUUGAUUAUAUUUCCGUCCGUCCUCUGUUGGCCUCGGUCAUUGUACGGCUUCUCAAUAAAGGUUUUGUGCUCUACCACCCAAGGAUAGACCACGUCUAUGUGUUGUAGCACGACUAGGUUUGCUCUUUCAAAGUCGGUGAGUCGACCCUUGAAGUCGACAUGCAUUUCGCGGCGACCCUCGUGGUGACCCCAUCCAGCGAGCCUGCUGAGGUGCCUGUUGACGGGCAGACCAACGGGGUUCUCGAUGCCUAGAUAAUUCGUGUAGUAGGAGAUGCACUCUUCGGUCAGAAAGCCCUUGGCUAUGCUUCCCUCUGGACGUGACAUGUUGCGAACGUAUCCUUUGAUGACACCGUUCAUCCUUUCGAACGGCAUCAUGCUGUGCAGGAACGUCGGCCCGAGUUGGAUGAUAUCCUCCACGAUAUGGACCAGCAGAUGCACCAUAACGUCAAAGAAUGCAGGCGGGAAGUACAUCUCAAGCUCGCAUAGUAUCACCACGAUCUCUUCCUGUAGCCUUCUGAGCUGCCUCACGCCAACCGACUUCCGAGAGAUGACGUUGAAAAAGUUGCAUAUGCCAAAUAGCAUUUCACGGACGUGCGCGUCCAUGAUCCCACUGAUUGCAAUUGGAAGUAUCUGCGUCAUCAGCACGUGACAGUCGUGAGACUUCAUCCCGCUGAACAUCUGCUUCGCUGAGUCUAGGUAUCGGCUUAUCUUCUCCGGUAACCGUAAGGAAGUUUUACUCCUACGAGGCAGGUGAAAAACUAUUCGUUCUCCUCCUGACUUAGAGUGAAGCACGUGGGAGGGCAGUCAUUUCCAAUCUUCUUGGCCUUUUUGCCUUUGCGACGACUUUCUGUGUCCUUCGCCUCAUCAUCAUCAUCAUCAGCAUCAUUAUUAGCGUGAAGCUCCUCCCUGAUGCCCAUUGAUUUCAAGUCUGCCCUUGCUUUCGGCCCAUGUUUGGUCCUCUCUGGCAUGUUGAGCAGGGUACCAAGCAGACUCUCGCACACGUUCUUCGUGAUAUGCAUGACAUCAAGGCUGUGAGGCACACGGAGGAGCUUCCAGUAUGGCAAGUCCCACGUAUUGGCUGGCGUUUUCCAUAGCGUGUCUAGCUCCUCUUUCAGCAGCCCUAAAUACAGACUGAUGUCGUUCCCUGGUUGUUUCGGCCCUUCAAUUAGCAUACUCAUGUGAAUGUACUUCCUCUUCAUGCACAACCAGGGGGGAAGGUUGUACAUCCACACAAACACAGGCCAGGUGCUAUGUGUGCUUCUCUGGCUGCCAAACGGAUUGACUCCAUCGGUGCUCGCGCCCAGCAUGAUGUUCCUUGGAUCGUCCCCAAAUUCUAGGUGUUCGAAGUUCAACGCUUGGCACUGGCUCGCAUCCUUAGGGUGACUCAGCAUCUUGUCUUUUUUAUUUAUCUCCGGAUCAUUUCCAUCAUAUUCUCGCUUCUUCUCCUCCCUAUACGCGUGCCAACGCAGGAGCUUUGCUACCUUAGGGUCCAUGAAAUACCGCUGCAGACGAGGAGUGAUCGAAAAGUACCACACCACUUUUCGAGGAGCUUUAUUCCUCUUCUUGUAUCGAGUGACGCCGCACGCCGGACAUAUGGUAGACUCCGCGUGCUCGUCAAAUGAUGCAAUUGUUCAUGCACACAUGAUAUUUCACGUGCGGUGAAUUCAGAGGACACACGAUUUUCUUCGCCUCCAUGAAACUGGUCGGGCACUUGUUCCCCUUGGGAAGACGUUCGUGCCAGAAUGACAUGUUCUCGUCUAAGCAUGCAUCGUUCAUUUUGUGUUUUACCUUCAUCUACAGAGCCAUGAGCGUUACUUUCAGGCGGGUAUCCUCGGGCCUGCAUCCUUCAUACAAUGGAGUAACCGCGUCUAUCUCCAGUUGAUCCAGCUUGGCUUUCUCUCGGGCGGCAGCUCUUGCGUUAUCCGUCUACUUGAGAAGCAGCUCUUGAAUAUGAGGGUCCUGCACCCAGCCCAUCGAUGGUCCAUCGUCGUCUGCUCCGUCGGCAUCUUCAUCUUCAUGAUCAUGCCCUUCGUCUGCUCCGGCAUCUUCCUCAUCAUCAUGUCCUGCAUCUUCUACAUGAUGACUGUGUACAGCAUCACCGUCGUGAUCAUGUCCUGGAGAUUCUUCGUCUUCUCACCCGCUCGAGCAGCGGUGGUUGUCUUGAUGCCCUUCCUCAUUUCUUGCCCGGCCCCCAUGGACGACUUCAUAAUCAUCUUCAUCACCUUGCCACCGAUAGCCAUCCAUGAAACCACGCAAGAGUAGGUGGCCCCGCACCUGUACGGAAUCCGGUUCCAUAAGGCUCUUCAGCUUGCAUCUUCAACACAGACAUCUUAUCUCCGUCUCAUUCUUUUGAAUCAUCUCGGGCUUCGCGGAGCUCAAAAACCUAUUCAUGAUGCCUUCGGUCAUCGUGCGGACCAUGGUCGCCUGCGGGGUAGAGCAAAGCAAUAUUUUAGAACCAAAAAAAAAUUGGCAUGACUUUGCCUAAAAAUAGGACCAAAAAGAAUGCGUGCCAAAUUCUUGCCGAGUGGUGGCGCACAGAGUGAGUGGUGCGCCAUUACUAGUUAAAACUAGUAAUGGCGCACUAUCCCCUGAUGCGCCAUUACUAGUUUUAAAAAAAAUUGUUAGUAGUGGCGCCAUUAGUGAUAUGAACACUAAUGACGUACCUAUACAUGGUGCGCCACUGCUAUAUAGCAGUCGCGCACCACAUUUGUGGUGCGCCAUUAAUGUUCAUAUUAGUUAUAGCCCUUUUUUUAGUAGUGCUACCUUCUUAUCUCACAUGUAAAAAGAGAAGGUAAGAGGGAGCAUGUUAAAAUUUGCCAUGUAUAUGCAAUGCGUUCUUAUUGACGGAUGGAUGCGGUUGGGUCAGUGGUCGUGGUCGUCACCGCGUUGGUCUUCAUAUCUCCUCCUCCUUAUACUACUACGUAAUACAUUAGAAUUAGCGUUAGGUAAACUUUAGGUAGGAGACUGAUAAUAGACAAGGAUGAUGUCCUUGUCACGUUUGUUAUGUUAAUAUACAGUCAGGCUCAUUCAUACAAGGCUUGCCCCAGCACUGAGUUACAAGAAAUCAGCUUAAGAUAUCUUGCAAUCACACCAUAAUCAUACACAUAUGUGAUUUUUAUGCAAAUCCUUUCUUUGACCUACUACGACCAGCAACUACCGGCCUGCACAAUUUUCUAUCAUUCCAAAACAAAACGAGCUAUUGUACAACAUGGAGAUAAGACAAUUACAAGGGGAAGAGAUCUAAGAAGACAAAGUACAUAACCAAGAAAUAAGAAUUAUUGCUUAUAGAAAACAAUUUUUUUUGAAAAGGAGGAAGACCCCCGGCCAAGCCUAACAUCCAAGACCUGAGGCCCCGACCAAGCCACUUGCCGGCUAUGGGGCACACACCGGUCCGGCGCACACACAGAGGCCGCCGCAGCCAACUGCCACCAAUCCAUCUUCAGAGCUGUACUGACGCAUCAACCUUGCCUGGUCUAGCUGCUGUCGAUGCCACCACGACGCCAGACAACGCCACCAUCAUGGACUCGUCCAUCAACACAAGCCUAGCAGCGAGACCGCGCUGCUCCAUGCCGCUGAGACCCACCAUUGUUGACAUGUCAGAUGCAAAGCUGCUCCUCCUUUACGAACACCACAUGCAGCCACUGGUGCCAUCCCUCCACUCCCGACCGAGCCCCAAUGCCCCUGACGACGCCACCAAGAAGGUCACGACGCGAACAGCGCCGCUACCGCCAAAUUCAAAGAGGAUUGGAGGUUUUCACUCGGCAUGAGAUCGGGGUGGGUAGAUUGGGCCCUCAGCUGCGCCUUCAUGAAGGAAAGCGACACCCAUGGGCGCCGCCGCCGCCGGGCUGGCCUGACCGGCCAAGGUUUCCCCCGGACACAAGGUACACCACCAGGGCUCACCAUCACUGAAGCCUGUAGCCGCAAACCACCGGGACGCCGAGACAGGCAACAGGGGAAAAGGGAACCUCCAGAUCUGACGCCACGACACCAACCCAUCGGAGGAUCACGGGCCACCCGAUCCAAUCCCCAGCAGCCCACCUGCCCCGCUGCGCCCGGACACGGAGGCCAACCCAAGGGCUGCCACCCCAGAUCCAGGGCCCUCCGCUCGAAAUCAGGCAGAGCAGAGCCAGCCUGCCGCCACGACCAUCACUGGGUCACCGGCCGGCCGCCACGCUGUUGUGCUCCAGAUGGAGGUCGCCGUGGGCCAAAUCGGUGCCGCCGCCAUCGAUAAGGGACUCGUCCUCAAGAUUGGGGAUCCCGCGCAUCCCGAGCCCCGAGUGAGAGGGAGAUGCCUCCGCGUCGCCAUCACAUGCACGGGCUUAGCCCGGCGCCAACCACCGGCGGCGGCGGAGGGGAGAGCGGGAAGGAGGAGGGGCACCGGCGGCGGAGGGUUGGGUCCCCUUGGUCACCCGCGCGGUGGGCGAUGGAGGGGAAGGGGGAGGGGGAGGGGGAGAGCUUACAGAAAACAACUACAUGUCACUAAGGAACAGAAUGAGAGAUCAGAUAGAAAAGUAGAGAAAUGAGUAAACGGCUUGUGGCGUAUGCUUGCCCAUAGCAGAAGGUCAUCUCCACAACUAGGAAUAAGAACAGGGUAGUCCUCUUUUUUUUUGUUAAAUCUUCGGGUUAUGGUGCUUCCAAAUAUUCCAAAGAAAGCAGAUGCACAACAAAGAGGGGACCUAUUUGGUAGAAAAUCGAGGCCGAGGACAAGCAAUCACAAGCAUAACAUCAAUAUUUGUUGACAAGGUUUUGCAAACUAGUCUACUCACCAAGCAGGGUUACGAGAGCUCCUCCCCAGGUACUAAAUUGAGAUGACAAAUUCCACUAAGGCAAUCGAACAACAUGUCUAGCCAAUCACCACUACCGGUCAGGCCAUCCCUGCCAUGUCCCCCGCACCUUCCCUCGUGUGAUUCAUGUCUAGACUACCAGUUUCGUCUAGUCUAUUUUGGCAACCCGUGGUGCCUUUAUAUGUUAGACCAUGGCUACGCGUAUUUGAUUCAAACACCUUACAUUCCGCAAAGUACAAGUCUAAUAAUAGUACAACUCUAACACAUAUUUGACAAAAUUCAAACAAACUUAUGACUCGUGAAUAUGUCUUCGUCAUCUUCAAGCUCCCAAGCAUGGACCACAAUGUACUAAAUUUGGACUUGAACCAUCAGGCAUGAUAGAGCAUGAUGAACAAAACAUACAUGAUAAUCGGACCAUUAUAAGUACUAAACAAUCUAGACAUGCAAUCUGAUAGAUAAGAAAGCAUAGGAUGUCCAUGUUGAUUUGUAGUACGAAUACACCAAUGGAAAAGCCUAAUUAAAAGAAGCGAUAAGAGUACUUACGAGAUGGGUGUAGCAUAAGCAACGUUAGAUGCAGCGGCGGUGUCCUUAGUAUUGUGGUUGGACGGAGCCAACAAGUAGUCCAUGAACUAGUUGAUGGAGCAUGAACAUUCGAGUAAUCAUGGGAGUAGUAGCAGUAUUGUGGUCCCCAAAAACCUAAUCACCUCUCUCUUUUACAUGAUUGCAAGAGACGGGGUUCCGGAGGCCUGCUCCCUCCCCCUUCACGGUGCACGUCGAGAAGCAGGAUAGAGAAACUUAGAAGCGGCACAGUUCACAUAGACUUCAGUCAAAUAUUAAAAUUCCUUAUUCAGAUGAAACAUCAAAGUUAAGAGCCAACAUCAAAACAAAAGGAGCUCCACAUGUUGGUUCUUUGUCCAAUGAACUAAUUUUUCAUCCAGCACUAAACAAGCUUGUGCCAUGACACCAUCCAUGCAUAGAGUGGAAUACUUCACUUGCUAACUCUUCGGACGGUCUUACACCCCAGUUCGACACUUCUUUAUUUUCCUGUUUCCUCUGCAAAAUUGGCCAUGAUUUAAUUCAAAACCCCACCAUGUUGAUCUUAGUACAUCGAUAAUCAAUUUUCUUAUCAUCAAAACAAGCACCACUUCUAAUUAUUCAAAUGGUCAAGAAAACAUAAGCAAUUCCAACCAUUACUAGAUGUUUGACUUGCCUUGAAAAUCAAGAAAUCCAUGAAGUAAACGUUUAUUCGACUGAAUGUCUGAUUCAGAUACUCUAAAUGUAGAAGGCACACUGCAUAACAUUCCAAACUAGUUUUGCAAGAGAACACUUAAGGAAAAAGAUCAACUAUUUUAUCUAAACCACAAAAUUGACAUCUAUUUUCUUAUUGUUAAUCCCUCUUCAGGAUCAACAAUUAAGGAAAAAGGUGAUAAAAUUUUAUUCCCCCUUCUCGCAGCUUUUUCGGAAGUCCCUUAGGUAAAUCUCUGCAAUUUAACAUGAACGUGAAGUAAAAAUUAUGCUAUGGUGAUCAAAUAAGCAUCAAAUUGGAGUACUUACCUUAUGAAAUCACGUAGUGUUGCCGUGUAUAUCCUAGUUUUGCAGAGGCCGGGUGUGCGCUCAUUGUCAUUGUACCAAUUGAUGUUACAUUAUGAGUCAAUACAAAACGCCCUUUGUCGAGAAAAUGAAAUCAUGAUGCAAAAUGCAUAUAUCAAUAAUUAAUCAUUAUUGUUUCCAUAGCAUCGACACCACAUAUAAUGCAUGCAUGUACUCCCUCCGUUCCUAAAUAUUUGUCUUUCUAGCUAUCUUAAAUGGACAACAUACGGAUGUAUAUAGACAUGUUUUAGAGUGUAGAUUCACUCAUUUUGUUCCGUAUGUAGUCACUUGUUGAAAUCUCUAGAAAGACAAUUAUUUGGGAACAGAGGGAGUAUAUGUUAGUACAAAUUGAUAAUCCAUCUUGUCCCUUGUUAACAGGCACCAACUGGACAAGUGGUCACAGGGCAUGCCACGACCAGGCCACUAUAGUCGUGAGACAUAUAUUAGUCAGAUGUUAUUCUAUACUUUCAAGGAAGAAUAAGAGUCCGACGUUAGCACGCGCAAGCAUGCUAAGUGUGUGUGUGUAAGUUAAGUAUGUGAAACAUGCAUGAACUUGCGCCGAUUAUACUGUUAGCCGUUUUAGGUUUUGGAUUCAUCGGAGUCUUGCCACCGCUCUACCUUAGCUAGGGCAUCUUCUAGUCACUGAACCGCCGUCACACACGCCACUGUGAUAACAAAUGCAGACCUUGAUACCGAAUGCCAAAUUGCUGCUCGAAAGAAACUGGAUGAACCCACAGUACAUGUAUGUCACUAUUUCCUUUUAUUUAGUCGCCCAACAACAACCUGCACAUGGCUAGACAACAUAACCGGAGAAAAACUUUACUUGGCCGCAACGUGGACUAGCACGCUUCUGGCCUACAAGCAAAGUACCUACGGAUUCCAUUGAGCCGAGUUUACAAAUUAACAUAUUGCAAUAUAAACUAGAGUACUUGACGCAAACACACCGCUUAACUUCGUCCUGGUCGGACGAUGUCGGAGAUCAGGUGGUCUCACCCCUUUGGAGGCUUACUCUCACUUUUUAUUCUUAGGCGGCAGCUUCCUGUUCUUCUUCUAAGUCAGCAUCGGGUUAUUCCUGGACUGCACCUGGUUCUUCUUGAACGACGGUGGUUUUGUCAACUGGGUACUGAUUGACGGUGCCUUGGUCUUGUUAGGGGCAUCCUUUGCAGGUUCCUUCCCCUUGCCCAUGACGGGAUCUCCUUCUCUUCUUCUUCUUCUUCUUCUUCUUCUUCUUCUUCUUCUUCUUCUUCUUCUUCGGCGAGGUGGCUGAGGCGAGGUGGCUGAGGUGAGGUGGAUGUGGUGCUUACUUUGUUCUUGUUGGGUUGAGGAAGCCCCAUAGCAACGACUGCAUAUAUAUAGGAGGCACGGAGAAGGUCUUGGGAAAGUGCUCCGGCCGGACGACGCGCUAUCACGGGAGGAGAAUGGUUUGGUGGCGUCGCCAGUGCUACUGCUGGUAGUCAGUCUCUUUUAUUUCAUUUUGGGGAGUAGAUAUGUAUAUUUGAUGCAUGCAUUUGUUCUUAACGGAUGGGUACGCAGUUGGCUCAGUGGUCGUGGUCGUCGCCACGUUGGUCUUCAUUUCUUCUCCUACUUCUCCUUACAGUAGUACUUCAGAAUAAGCGUUGGUGGUUAAGUUUUGGUACCAAAUGCCACACGGCUUGUGACUAGAUGUUAGUCAUAAAUAUGCAUGUACUGUACGUCAUGCAUCAUUUAUGUAGUAACUAUACACGCCGUUGUCGUUGCACGAGUUGUUUGCCUAAAUUCAAAACUUUUGAUGACGGGCCAAAACUAUGUCAAUAUUCUCUGGUAAAAAUGGUGGGACCCGUACUAACGUGUGGGAGGACCACGUGCCGGCGUAAGUCAAGUGUUUGGACCCACGUGUCAUACAUAGUUCAUUUUGUCCAUGUUAUAUUUAGAGUGGAACCAUGUAUCAGUACAAGACAUGUGUCACCGUUUCGACUAAUCCGUGUUGUCGUAGAUUUCUUUCAUUUCAAUCUAAUUCAUGCAUGACUUUUAACAUAUCUUCAAAGAAUACGAGCUGCUGUAUUCCUGUUGCUUUUAUUACUUUAAAAAUAUAAUCAAUAGAAGUUCCUGGUUAGUUCAUUUAGAUUCAGUGGCACACAUACAUGGUUUCGACAGUAAAGCUAGUAGCUUAUACAAUAUUCCGCGGCCGGUGUCCAUCAGAGGUAUAGAUACCACUAACGGGACACAUUACAACACCGCCCAGUGGCCUUAUCUCUUGUAGUGAUGGACUCUUUUGUCAUUCGUUCUGUUGUAACCAUGAGUGGGACAAGAUACUCGAUUUGCCUAUCUUAGGAUUUGUUGAAUGCAAGGUGGUUAAGGGAGGUUCUUAAAGAAAUAAACCAACUUUUCUUUGUGCAUCAAUUCUUGUUCAUAGAGGGCAGAUGCUUAAUUAGGCAUCCCUUCUAUAGAGAUAACCGAUGGUGCUUAAACAAGAAACUUAAAGGUUUUUCCUUUAGAAUCAGCGGACGUUCAUAUACAUGAAUUUACACUCCCCUAUGAAUUCACAUACGCACACUCUAUCCCUUAUGAGCGCCUCUGAGAAAUUGAACCAACAGGUUGCGAGAUUGACGAAGUCAUGACCUGUGCAUCGCUGUCGAUGGGUCGUCGCUUACAGCGAAAGAAUAAGUCGUUAAACCCAGAAAUAUAUCGGGAAAACUGCAAACACCCUUCUCAAGUCAAGGACUUGAACCCGGUUGGAUAGCUUCCACCACAAGGAACCUAACAAACUGUGCUACGCUCAAUUCACCGAAGAGAUAAUGGUUGCGGUUUAUUAACCCUAUAUGUAUGUCUUUUUCGGCUCUUUCUUCUUAUUCAACUUCCCAACAAUAACCUCCCACAUCACUCAUAACACAACACAAGGAAAAAAAGGACUUCAUUUGGCCGCAACGUGAACCAGCACGCUUCUGGCCUAUAGACAGACUGGCUACGGAUUCUACAGCAGUGAUCGGAUCGAAUCAAAUUUACAAAUUAACUUACUGUAACGCAAACUGAGCUACUCGACAUAAACACACAUAACUUCAUCCUGGCCAGUGGACGUCGAUCACUGCACGGCUGUUGUCACCUCUUUCGAGGCUAAUUCUUCUUAGACGGCGUCGUCUGUUUCAUCUGCUUCUUCUGAGGCAGGAGCGACUUCCUCCUAUGGGCUGUCUUCGUCAAUUGCGUAUUGCUUGACGAUGCCUUCACCUUCUUUGGGGGAACCUUUGCAGCUUGCUCGCCCAUGACAAGAUUUGCUUCUUUUCUAAUAAUUCUUCUUCUCCAGUGGUAGCUGAGGUGAGGUGGAUAUAGUGUUUACUUUGCUCUGGUUGGGUUGAGGAAGCCUGCAGCAAUGGCUCCAUAUAUAUAGGAGGGGGAAGGUCUUUGAGAAAGCGCUUCGGCCAGACAACACGCUUCCACCGUGUGUGAGAAUUAUUUGGUGGCAUUAAUGUUUCUUGUGCCAGUCUGUUCUCUUUUGGGGAGUAGAUAUGCAUUAUAUUCAAUGCAUAUUAGUUAAGGAUCGCUGCUCAAUGGUUUGGUCAAUGGUUGGGUAUGCGGUUGGGUCAAAGGUUGUGGUCGCUGCCGCGUUGGUCUUUGUUUCUUCUCCUCCUGCUCCUUAUAUUACUACUACAUCAGAAUAAGUGUUGGUGGUUCAGUUUUGGUAGCACACGCCAGACACACAGAUGGCUUGUUAGUUGUUAGCAAGUACACACGAUGUUGCCGUUGCAUGGGAUGUUUUGCUAGAGCUUGAGUUUACAUUAGCCAAACCAAUUGGUAUCAUGUACGACAAAUCUUGUAUAUAUGUUUUGGUAGAGCUUGAGUUUAGAUUAGCUAAACCAUAAUAACUUUGUAUAUUAGUUAGGGGUCGAGUUGACAAGAGAGUUAUUUACCCAGGUUCAGACCUUGUGAGGGAGAACAUUAAUCAAAUUAUAUUUCAUGAGCUGGCCAGUAGGCAAAGAUCAUGUCAAGGUUAAAAAAUGAAUAGGAAUCGGCCGGCGCACGCACAAGCUGCCUAGCUUCGUCGACCUUCUCUUCUUUAUUUAAUUUACUCCUCCUGCUACCACGGCAUCUCGUUAACCACUAAUAUUGGAGCAAGCUAAGUAUGUUAAUACCGCUACAUAAGAACACCACUCAACCGCUCGCUAGAGUCUUCCCGCUGCUCAAUUACUAGCGCACUACCUUGAGCUGUCCCGCUUGUUUCUCCUUGGUGGUAAUGCUAAAGAAUAUUGCAAGAAACUGGAAUGAACACGCAAAAGACAGAGGUAGUUCAGCAACGUGUUAAUUAAUCACGUGUACGUCUUUUCUGACUCAUUUCUUUUAUUUGGUCACCCAAUAACACCAGAAAAACACAAAUAGCCACAACAUGAACUGGCACACUUAAUGUUUUUGCAGGAAAAACUCUCGUAAUUCAAACAAAAAAAAUUCAAAAAAAAUAAUUCAAAAAAAAAAUCAUAAAAUUUCCUUUAGUCCCGGUUGGUGUUACCAACCGGGACUAAAGGGCCAGGGCAUUAGUACCGACCCUUUAGUCCCGGUUCAUGAACCGGGACUAAAGGCCCUCAUCAACCGGAACAAUAGGCCCUUUUUCUACUAGUGUCACUUAGUUCCGAGAUACAAGGCCAUUUAUAAAAAAAAUCUAAGAAAUACAGUUUACCACUAUUUGAAUUGAUACUGAAAAUUGCAUUUUUUUUGGAAUGUUGAAAUACUAUGAACAAAAAUCUAAUCAUGCGUGUUUUGUUUUGACAAAUCCUUGCAUACAUUUAAAUUGAUAUUAGAAUCAAAUAAGCUUUCUAUCUAAAAUUGUGAUUUAUUUGCUUCCAAGACAUCAUAUUCUCGUUUGAGAAUGUAAAUAUUAUUACCUUCUCCUCUAUGCUUUAAUCUCUAUUGUCUCCUCUUAUUCAGUUCAUAGAUCGUAUGUCUCCUUCAUGUAAUCACAUGUACUCACACCAUUAUAUUAUUUAAGUUUGACCGACAAUAUGACUAUAUCUAAUGGUUGUGUAUGUGAGUGAGGUUGCUCGUUCUCAUCCACCUAGGUAAUCUUUUGGAUUGGCAUGGCUGUUCUGUCAUAUUGUUGAAGUAGAUGCAUAUGUGUAUAUUAUUGUGUAAAUGCUCACCGGCACCAAGAGAGAAUGUGAAACUUCCAAUAUUUUUCAUGGGCAACAUAUAAAAGAUAAGCUAAGAUGGCCCUAUAGCGCAGAUAAAUGUCACUAUAUCCCGUUAGAAGCACUAAAUUGUACAUAUGUGUUGUUUAGCAGGAUUCUAGAGGUUAUAGCCGCGGAAAACAUUCAACACACAUCUCUAUCCAAUUGUGAUAAUCAUACAUGCUAGCACAUUAUUAGACAUAUCUGUAGUAUGCUAAGUGUAACAAUAUGGCCUCUUCUACUUUGUUGAAGCAUCGUAUCAUGUUACAAAUAUAACGAAAAAUCUUCAAGAUCUGCUUGUAAAUCCCCAAGUACAUAAAUUCCCAUUCAAUUUAGAAGUCCGACAAGAUGCCAAGGCCGGCUCAUUGGGGGCAUUCCUCAAGUAUGUUACAUGACUUGACUAUAUAAUUUUAUUUCCCAUGCAGAGGUAGAAGAAAACCGUCCUCAAUAGUGUCUCCUCUUAUUCAGUUCAUAGAUCGUAUGUCUCCUUCACGUAAUCAAAUGUACUUACACCAUUAUAUUAUUUAAGUUUGAUCAACAAUAUGACUAUAUCUAAUGGUUGUGUAUGUGAGUGAGGUUGUUCGUUCUCAUCCACCUAGGUAAUCCUUUGGAUUGGCAUGGGUGUUGUGUCAUAAUGUUCGAGGUAGAUGCAUAUGUGUAUAUUAAUUGUGUGAAUGCUCACCGGCACCAAAAGAGAAUGUGAAACUUCCAAAAAAAUUCAUGGGCAACAUAUAAAACAUAAGCUAAGUUGGCCCUAUAGCGCAGAUAAAUGUCACUAUAUCCCGUUAGAAGCACUAAAUUGUACAGAUGUGUUGUUUAGCAGGAUUCUAGAGGUUAUUACCACGGAAAACAUUCAACACACAUCUCUAUCCAAUUGUGAUAAUCAUACAUGUUAGCACAUUAUUAGACAUAUCUGUAGUAUGCUAAGUGUAACAAUAUGGCCUCUUCUACUUUGUUGAAGCAUCGUAUCAUGUUAUAAAUAUAACGAAAAAUCUUCAAGAUCCGCUUGUAAAUCCCCAAGUACAUAAAUUCCCAUUCAAUUUAGAAGUCCGACAAGAUGCCAAGGUCGGCUCAUUGGGGGCAUUCCUCAAGUAUGUUACAUGACUUGACUAUAUAAUUUUAUUUCCCAUGUAGAGGUAGAAGAAAACCGCCCUCAAUACUGGAUCCAUCCAGAGAUGGCGGCAGUUUACAACCUCACAUCGACUGGAGACUAGCAUCGCCCUUGGAAAUGCCCUUGUAUUGCUGCUAACGUAUUUCUCAUUUCCCAAUAAACUGGAUGCAUUCAUGGAACAUGUAUGCCAAUCUUUCCUUUUAUUCAAUCACCAACAACAACAUGAUGCACGACUCAACAACACAUGUAAGAAGAAACUAUACUUGGCCACCACGUGAACAAGCACACUUAUGAUUUACAUACUGAGGUUACUAAUUUAGAUAACACAACAUAAACUGACGCACAAGACAGAGACACAAUUGACUUCAUCAUUGCCAGACAACAUGGAUGAGAACGCGGCUGCUCUCACCACUUUUGAGGCCACUUCUUAUUUCUUAGGCUGCGGCUGCUUCUUCUUAGCCAUCAUCUCUUUUUCUGAGUCAGCCUCACGUUUAUCCUACGGUUACGCCCCUUCUUAGGAUUCCUUCGUUGUGCCCCCGGCUUAUUGGUUGACGGUUGCGUUGGCCUGUUAGGGGGAACCGUUGUACCUGGAACCUUUGGACCUGACUUGUCCAUGACGCCUCCUCCCCUCCUCCUCCUACUCCUCCUCCUCCUCCUCCUUCUUCUUCUUCUUCUUCUUCUUCUUCUUCUUCGCUUGUGCAAGGUAGCAAAGGUGAGGUGGAUGUGGUGUUUGUUUUGCACCGGUUGGUUUGUGGAAUCCUGCAGCAACGGCGCGCGCAUAUAUAUAGGAGGAUUAAGGACUUGGGAAAGCGCUCUGGCCGGACAAGGUGGUUUCAUUGAAG